GACCGGUUAGCUCAGUUGGUUAGUGCGUGGUGCUAAUAACGCCAAGGUCAUAGGUUCGAUCCCCAUACUGGCCA
rnacentral:tRNA from 1 species